AUGAACGCUGGCGGCGUGCCUAAUCCCUGCAAGUCGAGCGAACGGACGAGAAGCUUGCUUCUCUGAUGUUAGCGGCGGACGGGUGAGUAACACGUGGAUAACCUACCUAUAAGACUGGGAUAACUUCGGGAAACCGGAGCUAAUACCGGAUAAUAUUUUGAACCGCAUGGUUCAAAAGUGAAAGACGGUCUUGCUGUCACUUAUAGAUGGAUCCGCGCUGCAUUAGCUAGUUGGUAAGGUAACGGCUUACCAAGGCAACGAUGCAUAGCCGACCUGAGAGGGUGAUCGGCCACACUGGAACUGAGACGCGGUCCAGACUCCUACGGGUGGCAGCAGUAGGGAAUCUUCCGCAAUGGGCGAAAGCCUGACGGAGCAACGCCGCGUGAGUGAUGAAGGUCUUCGGAUCGUAAAACUCUGUUAUUAGGGAAGAACAUAUGUGUAAGUAACUGUGCACAUCUUGACGGUACCUAAUCAGAAAGCCACGGCUAACUACGUG
rnacentral:rRNA from 1 species